rnacentral:lncRNA from 14 species
GCGCUCGGGAGGGUGAGCAGCAUUUGCAAGUGAGACGGCGAGGGAGAGGAGGGUGAGCAGCGCUUGUGAGUGAGGCAACGAGGGAGAGGAGCGUGAUUCUGCCUGGGACUGUUAUGUGGAAACUGCAUCCCUUUGUGGUGCCUGGCACACGAUUGUACAGAAGGGCCAGCAGGUAUCUGCUGCCAGGACCUGUUUGGCAUCGUGGGAGAAAAUUUUACUUUUCCAGUGAAUAUAGAAAAAACCCCAGAGGAAAUAGUUUGGACAAAAAACAAGGAUAAAGUGGCGGAAUGGGAAGAACAAAACACGACAUAGUUUCUUCUUUCCGUAACAGAAGCUUCCUUAAUGAGGAGAAUGGCUGCUUGACUAUAUUAACUUGCAGAACAGUGAUGCUGGCGUAUAUGAAUUGGAUACGUUCAUUACUCAGAAAGUAAAGUCUUCCUUAACCUUCAUGCUUCAUGUGCUACCUCCCCCUUCAGAACCUGAGAUAAGUUGUAAUGACAGCGGGGAUACCUUUGUGUUGAAAUUCCCAAAGCCUCUGUAUUACACAUGGAAGUUGAAUGGCAGACCGCCAAUUGUUCAUCACAUCCCAGAAGUUUUCAUCCCUAAGGAGGAUGUUGGUGCUUCCACAAAAGCUGUGUGCUUCAUUAAGUUCUCUCAAACAGAAAAGAGCUCUGAAAUCUCUUUGACCCAGUGCUUAUCAGGUAAAAAAUGUAAUGAACCCUCCAUGGGCUACAGGUGAAUAUCUGCUCCACUGUGAAUCUCUGUGCGCUGCAGGGGGAUAUCUGCUCCACCAUGGACCUCCAUAGGCUGCAGAGGAGUCUUUGCUCUGGUGCCUGGAGCACCUCCUCUCCUUCCUCCUUCUUCACUGAUCUUGGUGCCUGCAGAGCUUUUUCUCUUGCACCUUCUCACUCCUCUCUCUGCUGUUGCAUGCCAGUUUUUACCCUUUCUUAAAUAGAUUAUUGCAGAAGUGCUACCAUUGUUGCUGAUGGGCUUGGCCUUGGCCAGUGGUGGGUCCAUCUUGGAGCCAGCUGGCAUUGGCUGUCUUCUGGCACCUUCUUACAGAUGCCACCUGUGAAGUCUCCUUGCUACCAAAACCUUGUUUGCAACCCAAUAGACAAUGUUUGAUGAAACUUUAUUUGUCUGAUUUCUGGCUCAGCCUUUCAUAGGCCAAAAAUCGCUGCUUGGGUUGCGCUGGGUGUUGGUCAAUGGGUGCUGAGCAAUUUUAUUGUGCAUCAACGGUGUUUAUGGAUGUUUUCCCUUUCCCCUCUUAGUUUCGUAUUCUCUCC